GGCGGGGCAGGGCGGAGCGGGGCGGGCGGCCGGGGAGCUGUCCGCCGGGAAGCGGGAGCCGCACUCCGGCCGGUCGGCGUCGCGGGAUGGCGGGAGGGCGGCAGCGGCAGCGGCGGGCCAAGCGGCGGCAGAAACAGUUGCAGAGAGGGGCCUCGCGGAGGCCGCCUGACGACGGAGAACGCGUGUGGUUCAAGGGAAAAGAGAAGGUGUGGUGUUUGAACUGUGAUGAGACACACGUACUCGUUUGCUCCUGUGAUGGGAAGCUUUAUGAAUGCUGGACCACGGCUCCAGGCAAAACCUCUAAGCUAAGGCUGGUGAAAGAACUGGAAAACAACGAUAUUGUUCAAAUAGCCUGUGGAGACCAUCACUCCAUGGCGCUGUCCAGAGGAGGCAGUCUCUUUACCUGGGGCCAGAAUACCCAUGGACAGCUUGGAGUGGGGAGCCAAGACCUGCUCAUCUCCAAACCGCAGCUGGUGAAAGGCCUAAAGGGCAUCCCACUUGCUCAAAUUGCUGCUGGAGGAGCUCACAGCGUUGUUGUGUCACUCUCUGGAGCUGUAUACUCCUGGGGAAAGAACGAUUUUGGACAGCUGGGACUUGGACAUACAGAAGACAGGGACUGCCCAUCAUACGUUGAAGCAUUAGAACACUGGAAGGCUGUAUUUAUCUCAUGUGGGGAAGACCACACUGCAGUUCUCUCCAAGAAUGGCUUGGUGUUCACCUUUGGAGCAGGAGGGGCUGGCCAGCUUGGUCACAACUCCACCCGGAAUGAAUUUAGACCUCGCAUGGUGGCUGAACUGUGGGGAGCAAGAGUUUCACUGGUUGCCUGUGGAAGGCAGCACACCCUGGUCUAUGUCCCAUCUUUGGACAAAGUCUAUUCAUUUGGUUCUUAUGAAGGACAGCUGGGAAGUGAGAGAAAAGCUAAUCAGUUGAUACCACUGCCCAUCAAUUCACCAGUGGAUAAUGGGAAAUAUUGUCAGGAAAACACAUCACAAAAUGUGAUUGAAACUACUGCAGAAGGAAGGGAAAAUAUCGUUGACCUUCUCUUUAAGAAAAGGAAUUCCUACCCUGUGAAUGGAAUUGCCACUCUGGAGAGGAAAGAAGUGAAUGCAUGGGUUUCUAAUUCCUGUUCAGAACAUUGGAAGAUUAUAAAAAAGAAUAUCGGACUGAUCUUCUCAUCUGAGGCUUGCAUCAAUGGAAGUUUCUUGGAUAAAAGGGGCAAACAUUUCAAAACUUCCCAGGAAAUCUCAGGUGUAGACAUGGCAGAAGUGCUAAGCUUUUGUAAGAAGAUCAGCAAGAAUGUAGAAGUCUACCAGGAGGUGCACGAGGAGAUACAUAAUUUACUGCCAUCAUUGUCUUCUUCUCCUGUUUCACCUGAAAAUUUCAGAGUCUACUUGAUCUUGCCUUUCCUUCUGCAGCAAAAGGAUGUCAGAUCUUACAGUACCCUCAAGCUGCUAGCAGAAGCUAUCCUGAGGCUCCAGCAGAAGGACCUGCAAACUCUUGAAUGCCUGUGGUCAAAUCUAGAAAAAGUCUUUUUCAAGAAGCUGGUUUUUCUAUUUAAGAUGGCUUCCCUGUACUCUCUGAUGGAACGUCUCAUGUGCAAUUUCUCUGUGCAACACCCACAAGAAAUAGAGGCUCUGCAAAUACUGCAGAUUCUUUACCAGGUGAACUCCAGAGCUGGUUUCAGGCUACAAGACAACCAUUUCUAUAUACCUGAAAUGGGAGACCUUGUCCUUCGUUUUUGCACCAGUGGCAGAGAUCUGACAGUGCUGAUUAAAUAUCCCUGCAUUUUUGACAUGGAGGCCAAGCUGCUGAUUCAUUCUUUAGAAUGCAACAGACUGUUUUUCAGCAUUCCUCCAGGGUUACCAUACAUGUUCCAGAAACAGUGGACGUUUCCUGUCAGGAGAGAAUACCUUCUGCAUGACAUACGGGAUCAUUUACGAAACGCGACGAACAGCCAAUUCAGGCAUUUCUUAGACGUGUACUUCGAAGGCGAAGAAGGGGAAGGAGUCGGGCUGUGCCGGGAGCUCUUCGCCGUCGCCGCCAAGGAACUCUGCGAUCCCCAGAGCGAUGUCUUCCGCCACUUCCCCUCCAGGCUGAUCUGGUUCCCCACGCAGGUGUCAAGCCACGAUGACACGUUUCUCCUGGUUGGCACCUUCUUCGGAAUGGCCUUGUAUAACCAUUGCCAGACUCCCUUCCCCUUCCCCAGGGCUCUCUUCAAGAAGAUGCGGGAUGUCGAGCCGACCCUGGAGGACCUGGAGGAGCUGAUGCCAGCAGUCGGCAGGAAUCUUAAGAACAUUUUGAAGGAAGAAUCUGAGCAUAAGCUUGAAAGCCUACACAUGACCUUUGUGCAAAUGGAAGAAGGAGGUUCUGUGGUUGAGCUUAAAAAAAACGGUGCCAACAUUCUUGUCACAAAGCAUAACAGGAAGGAAUUUGUUGACUUGUAUGUGAAUUACACAUUGAAUGAAUCAGUACGGAAGCCAUUUGAAGACUUUAUGCGAGGUUUUUUAAGAGGCUGCCCAGUGGAAAGCUGGAAGAUAUUUCUCCCUGAUGAGCUCCAGGUUGUUCUCAUGGGACCCACAAAUUAUGACUGGCAUCUGCUAAAGAAGAAUGUGAAGUAUGUGUACUAUGAAGCGUCACAUCAAACCAUCAAGAAUUUUUGGACUGUGUUUUACAAGCUCCCAGAAGAAAAAAAGAAAAAGUUUCUUGCGUUUUUAACAGGAUCUGAUCGAGUCAUUCCCAAAGGACUUCAUUUUGUACUUUCUAUUGAAGACCCUCUGUGUGAAAAUCCAGAUAAUUCAUAUCCUUUUGCCCGUACCUGCAGCUGCACUCUCUUCCUCCCCAGGUACAGCAGUAAAGAAAUACUUGAGGAAAAAUUACUCUCUGUCAUAGAGUAUAGUGAAGGUUUUGGCUUGCGGUAGCUCUUGGUCAGGAGCAUGUUAAAGCACAAACAAGAAAACAAGUGGUUGUCUCACUUGUAAUGUUUUUCCUGAUUUAUUCUGGUGUAGUGAUUUCUAUUCUGCCUUAUUUUUACUGCACUUUAUAAAAACUCUUCAGUGGGUGUAUUCAACUGAGAAUGUUUACUGAUUAAAAGUCCUUGCGAGAGGCAACUUGGUAACCAAUUAUAUUUACAGAGAUGCUCAUCCUGCACUUUAGUAGUCUUAUUUAAUUGAUGAGCUUUCAACAGUAAGGCUUCUGUUAUUUGUACGUUACCAAACACACAGCCAGCACAUGCUAAGCAGUAAUCAUUGCAGGAGGGAGCUAGGGUAACAUUUUGAUCUGUAUUAGUUAAGGAUUCUUUUGGAGAAUAACCC
rnacentral:lncRNA from 1 species